AUGUCUGAUGCCAAGGUGAAUGAUGCACAGACAGGAUAUGAGUCCGCAAUUACCAGUUUGAUGGUGGCACUGGCAGGAGGCAACUGGAUACAUGAUGCAG
rfam:Delta proteobacterium ML8_D scaffold_40, whole genome shotgun sequence.